rnacentral:misc_RNA from 1 species
UCCUGGUUAACCCAGGCAGUCUCGCUAGAGUUCCCAGCAUUACCUGUUGGCAACUAACGAUAAGGGUUGCGCUCGUUGCGGGACUUAACCCAACACCUCACGGCACGAGCUGACGACAGCCAUGCAGCACCUGUUCAGCGGCCCCGAAGGGCUGAUGCAUCUCUGCAUCAUUCCACUGUAUGUCAAGUCUGGGUAAGGUUCUUCGCGUUGCAUCGAAUUAAACCACAUGCUCCACUGCUUGUGCGGGUCCCCGUCAAUUCUUUUGAGUUUCACCCUUGCGAGCGUACUCCCCAGGCGGUAUAUUUAUCGCGUUAGCUACGGCACAGCCAGGGUUGAUUCCGGCUACACCAAGUAUACAUAGUUUACGGCAAGGACUAC